AGAAAAUAGAUACCCUGGUAGUCCUGGCCGUAAACGAUGACCACUAGAUGCGGGAGGUAUCGACCCCUUCCGUGUCGCAGCUCACGCAGUAAGUGGUCCGCCUGGGGAGUACGGUCGCAAGACUAAAACUCAAAGGAAUUGACGGGGACCCGCACAAGCAGCGGAGCGUGUGGUUUAAUUCGAAGCAACGCGAAGCACCUUACCAGGGCUUGACAUGCGCCUGCACCAGUCGUAAUGGGCUGUCUCCCGCAAGGGGGCGGGCGCACAGGUGCUGCAUGGCUGUCGUCAGCUCGUGUCGUGAGAUGUUGGGUUUAAAGUCCCGCAACGAGCGCAACCCCCUACUGCUAGUUGAAUCUCUCUAGCGGAACUGCCGUCCAAAAGCGGAGGAAGGUGGGGAUGACGUCAAGUCAGCAUGGCCCUGACGUCCUGGGCGACACACACGCUACAAUGGCCGGUCCAAUGGGAAGCCAACCCGCAGGGGGAGCCAAUCCCAACAAAGCCGGUCUCAGUUCGGAUUGCAGGCUGCAACCC
rnacentral:rRNA from 1 species